CUUAGUCUUUCGAUGAGCCCAAAGUCAGGGUUUGGCUGGGACUCGGGAGAGUCGAUGGAAAGCUAUCGGGGAUGUGGUAAGGAAAACAACUGUGUGCCAUCCAUGUCUCAUGCAACACCCAAGGAGCUCUGGAUUUGGAAGGGGGAAUCCCACUGAAGCUGGCAUUUCCUUGAACUGUGUUUGACUUCAAUCUCCUGGCUCUGGGGUUGUGUAGAAGACUCUGUUCCUAUGAGUAGAGGCAAGACUUUCAUAUUGGACUGAAACAUAAGGAUGGAGACAGAGAUUGACUGGAAGAAUAAGAUUUGGGGACAAAAAUGCCAGGCCUGGUAGGUCACACAGGUACCAGCUCCUUACUACAUAAAGGGA